rnacentral:rRNA from 1 species
UACGUAGGGGGCUAGCGUUGUCCGGAAUCAUUGGGCGUAAAGAGCGUGUAGGCGGUCCGGUAAGUCCGCUGUGAAAGUCGGGGGCUCAACCCUCGAAUGCCGGUGGAUACUGUCGGGCUAGAGUGCGGAAGAGGCGAGUGGAAUUCCUGGUGUAGCGGUGAAAUGCGCAGAUAUCGGGAGGAACACCUAUGGCGAAGGCAGCUCGCUGGGACGUUACUGACGCUGAGACGCGAAAGCGUGGGGGAGCAAACAGG